UCCACUGUGCUGAAAGUUGGGGAUAAAGAGAAGCACAAGAUACUUCCUGCCUUCAGGGAGCUUACAGUCUGAAGAAGACAAAUAGAAACAACCAUAAAGUAGUCUUAAAAUGAAUGGGUGGAGAAUUGAGAAGACCAGGAAAAUCCUCUUGUAGAAGGUAAGAUUUCAGUUGUAGAUUUGAAGAAAGCAGGAUUUGGAGGCACGGGAGAGAAUCAGUGAAGAGGUCCAAAGUCACAAGACUGAUUGUCCCAUGGGAGAGAUAGCGAAGAGAUCAGUUGUCACUGGAUCACAAAGUCUAAAGAGAGGAAUAUAAAAUACGUGAAGAGUUGAAAGAAGAAUGAGGUCAGGUCUUUUGUGUGUACCAGUGGCUAUGGACCAGCAUCUAACCAGUUCUCUCGAUGAACUUGUAGAACACGAGCUGAGGAAGUUUAAGAGGAAACUAUACCACAUUGCACUAAAGAAAUGUUAUAAGCCCAUUCCUUGGGGGAAAUUGGAACCUGCCCACUGUGAUGAUCUUGCUCAAAUGUUGGUUAAGUAUUAUGGAGAAAAGUAUGCCCUGGAAGUUACUCUGAAGGUUCUAAAAGCCAUUCACCAGCAAGAUGUGGCCGACAUGCUCCUUAAGAAAAUCCAACAGGAAGGAAGUGAUGAGAAUGAUGAAAAAGAUGAAAGUGAUGAGGGUGAUAGUGAUGAAGAUGAAACAGAUGAUGAUGAAGAGGAUGAAAGUGAUGAAGAUGAUGAAACAGAUGAUGAUGAAGAGGAGUAAGAUGACAAAGGAAAACAAUGGGAAAAGAGAUGAUGAAGAUGAUAUAGAAUAAUAAAAUCUUACACUCAAGUCACUGGGAGUGAUUCAAGAAUCAUCAAAAUAUAGAAUUUGAAAAUCAUAGAAACAUAACAUUAGAAUCUUGGGAUCAUAGUAUCUAAAGACUAUGUCACAAAGGGUCACGAAAAAGUUUGGUUGCAAGUGGAAAAAGCCCUGGUCUAGCCCAAUUCACACCUGAGAAUCCCUUCUACAUCAUAUCUGACAAGAGAUUAUCCAACUUUUUGGCUUAGAGGGAGAACUUGCUACCUUCCAAAAUUGUCAAUUGCAUUCAUGAAAUAGUUCUAAUUAUCAGAACUUUCCCUCCAAUACUCCCUAUUUUUUCUUCUGGGGACAAUCUAAGGAAUCUAA